rnacentral:rRNA from 1 species
AUUGAACGCUGGCGGCAGGCUUAACACAUGCAAGUCGAGCGAGCGGCGGACGGGUGAGUAAUGUAUGGGAAAAUGCCUGAUGGCGGGGGAUAACUACUGGAAACGGUAGCUAAUACCGACUAACAUAAGAAGUGCCCAGGUGGGUUGAGCUAGUGGGUGGGGGAAUGGCUCACCUCGGCGACGAUCCCUAGCUGGUCUGAGAGGAUGACCAGCCACACUGGAACUGAGACACGGUCCAGACUCCUACGGGAGGCAGCAGUGGGGAAUAUUGCACAAUGGGCGCAAGCCUGAUGCAGCCAUGCCGCGUGUGUGAAGAAGGCCUUCGGGUUGUAAAGCACUUUCAGCGAGGAGGCGUUACUCGCAGAAGAAGCACCGGCUAACUCCGUGCCAGCCGCCGCGGUAAUUC